rnacentral:lncRNA from 1 species
UUCACACAAAUUAACAAAAGCAAAUGGCAGCUAAUGUAUUCUCAGUUAGAGGUUCUAAGGUUCGGUCAUGGGAGAGGUGUUCCAAACAAGUUCGGCAGCAGAGGACAAGGCUUUACAUAAUUUGGAGAUGCACUGUGUUACUCUUGUGCUGGCACGAGUAAAGAAAGUAUCAUCAAUCAGAGCUUGGUCCAGUAGUUGAAGAAAUGGCUUGACCUAUGUUCAAGCAGAAUUUGGGGUUCGUUUUUGCUGAAAACCAUACUGAGAGAAGUGAGACUUUGUAUUGUACCCUCAGGAAACUUUUGGGGUGUCUGUACUAUAAAAGAGUCAAAAGAGACAUAGUUUAUGUUAGGGGGUAGGGUAGGUAGGUAAUUAAAGGGGCUAUAUGAAGCAGGUGUUCCUGCUGAACAUGUAUAUUAACACAAACUAGCCUUUUUUAUAUAUAAUUCAAGUUGAAGAUACAACUGAGCCUCAUGUCUAAUUUCUUUUUGAUAUCACACACACACACAAUGACACACAAACACGACCUUAAUUUGCCUUUUAGUUUUAUCGCUUUUGUGCCAGAUGAUAGGGCGAAAGCAUCAUAUGUCCCAGGCUUAAUUACAAUCCCUUUAAUGUCACUUUGAAACUUGUGGACUUAUUCAGUGAAGUUUCUUGCUGAAAUAAAUAAUAAAUCAAUCCAUAAACCAGUUGUCUAUUAUUAUGUGCAACUGUUUGGAAGUCAAUGAAUUGGCAAUAGUUCCUUACCAACCCAUGACUAGGGAUCGCGUACCACUUACGAUUCACUAUAUAGGCCAAAAUGCGAAUGCUCAAAGACUUCAAAGUUCUCUAAUGAGUCUUCAAGUGGGAUGCAAAAAGUAAGUUGUUAC